AUUCCAGCUCCAAUAGCGUAUAUUAAUGUUGUUGCAGUUAAAAAGCUCGUAGUUGAAUUUCUGGACUCAUCUUUCGGUCCGAGGCCUUGUGCUUUGCGUACUGUUCUCGAUGGGUUCAUCUUAGUAGGGAACCAUUCUGGUAUUAACUUAUUGGGGUGUGGAACUGCUUCGUUUACUGUGAAUAAAAUAGAGUGUUUAAAGCAGGCAUUACGCCUUGAAUACUUCAGCAUGGAAUAAAAUGAUAGGACCUAGGUCUAUUUUUAUUGGUUAUGUUAACUAGGUAAUGAUUAAUAGGGACAGUUGGGGGUAUUCAUAUUUGAUUGUCAGAGGUGAAAUUCUUGGAUUUAUGAAAGAUGAACUUAUGCGAAAGCAUUUACCAAGGAUGUUUUCAUUA
rnacentral:rRNA from 1 species